UGGGGUGUAGCUCAGGGGUAGAGCCCUUGCCUGACAUGCAUGAAGCCCUGGGUUCAAUUUGUAGCACCACUA
rnacentral:tRNA from 1 species